GGGGCAUUAGCUCAGUUGGUUAGAGCAACCGGCUCAUAACCGGUCGGUCCGCGGUUCGAGUCCGUGAUGCCCCACCA
rnacentral:tRNA from 1 species